CUACGGAGGCUGCAAGCGUUGUUCGGAAUUAUUGGGCGUAAAGAGCAUGUAGGCGGACUAUUAAGUCUGGUGUGAAAGCCCGGGGCUCAACCCCGGAAGUGCAUUGGAUACUGGUAGUCUUGAGUAUGGGAGAGGAAAGUGGAAUUCCGAGUGUAGGAGUGAAAUCCGUAGAUAUUCGGAGGAACACCAGUGGCGAAGGCGGCUUUCUGGACCAAUACUGACGCUGAGAUGCGAAAGCGUGGGGAGCGAACAGGAUUAGAAACCCCAGUAGUCC
rnacentral:rRNA from 1 species